ensembl:lncRNA
CUCUACUUUUGCUGUAUUUUUCAUACUUCUCCUCUUCAGCUCCUCUCCACUUCUGCUGUUUGGUCUUACCUGCACCCACUCAUCCCUUCUUCAGCUCUUCUCCCUGCCCGCUUGUUUUUCUUACCUUCAUCCUCAUUUUUUCUUCUCCUCCUCUUCUGCUCUUCUUUCUUACCUGUGCCUGUUCUUCUCUGCUUUUGCUCUUGUCCUUCUCAGCGUCUGUCUUACCUUUAUUCUCUCUUCUCCGCAAGACGGGAAGUUUUUGGAGUGGGUCCAGAGGAGGGCCACUAAGAUGGUCAGAGGGCUGGAGCACCUCUCGUAUGAGGAAUGGUGGAGGGAACUGGGAUCGUUUAGCUUGGCGAAGAGAAGGCUCCAUGGAGACCUCCUGGUGGCCUUCCAGUACUUAAAGGGAGCAUCUAAGCAGGAGGGGGAAUGGCCCAAGGAGGCUGUGGAUGCUGCAUCCCUGGAGGCAUUCAAGGCCAGGCUGGAGUUGGCACGGGGCAUUUUGGUCUAGUGGCUGGCAAUACUGCACAUAGCGGGGAGGGGGGUGGGAGGUGAAACUUGAUGGUCACUGUGGUUAUUCUACGAUUCUACGCAUUUCUACGAUUCAAUGAUUCUGUGAUUCUUUAUAGGACGCAGUAUUCCACUUGGAAAGGGCCUCCCAAGGAUCCCUGGUAUCCUCUGAGAGCUCUGAGCUGCCACACCAAUUUGAAGCUGACUUCAUUUUUGGUCUUCCCCUUCAGCAGAAAAGCUCAGACAGCCGAGCCAAGCGAGACGCUGGAUUUCCUUUGGCAUCAAGGAAAGCAUCGUGACAUGUUCUGAUGCCCUCUCACAAUUCUUUCUCCCUCCACCAGCACCAGAGCUGGCGUCCAAAGACGCAAUGACACUGCCACAGGCAUUGUGGAGAUUUGUAUGGGAUAGGCCCACGGUAAGGCUUUAUUGACAGAGGGAGGGACAAUGAAGAUUGGAUGUCAGGGAGAAGGUCUUUCCAGAGACGGUGGUGAGAUGCUGGAAGCGGAUGCCCAGAGAGCUUGUGGACGCCGCGUCCGUGGCAGUGUUGAAGGCCAGGUUGGAUUGGGCACUCGGCAGCCUAGUCUAGGAUUAGAUAUGAUGCAGAUGGGAUUCACGCAUCUGUUUUGCAGCCAGCUCGAGUGGAGCUCUUGGAGCUCAUGGGCGCCCCAUGCCCGCAUCAGCGUGGGUAGGGUGUGCCCUUCCUGCGCGGUGGGGCUUUGGUGUCCGGGGGCUGACGCUGAGGAGACUGUGUUUCUUCGUUUAUCGGUGGCAGAAAUCCAGCUCUGUCAGCAGAGGACUCCUGCGGCUGGCUGGCCUCAGCCUGAGAUGUUGAUGCUGCCAUCUCCUCAGGGUUCUUUCUGCCUGCUCUUCUUAGCCCUGCGCCUCAGAAGUCUGACUGAGUCGCAUGCCAGAAGUGGAAGCCGGGAUGGAGUGCCUUGCGAUGCCUGCGACGGGCUGGACUGAGCCCUUGAGGAAGGUCUGGAAUCGUUGCUGAAAGAUUCGUUGGCUUUGGGCAACUUCAGCACCGCAGCCACACGAUGGGCUUUUUCCGCUUCCUGUUCUUCCUCACGGAAGCUCACGUGUUUGGUUCCCGGGGCUUGGCCCAG